CUCCCCGCCCGGCCCUAGCUCUCUCGCCUUCUCGCCCGCCCGGCGCUGGCCCUGCUGGAUCCUGCGCGCCGGGGACUGGGGGCUGGCAGUGCAGACCGAACCCGGGGCCGAGGGGCUUCUCCACAGAGCCGCCUGGGGCUCGGUGGGGGGCGCUCAGCUCGACCCCAGCUAAGGGAGCACUAGGAAGUGCGGGCGUCCCCUUCCCUGCACCCUUGCGGGGCGGGAACCGUCGACCUAGAAGAAAAAAAAAGCUGAGGCAAACUUGAUAUAAGUAGAGAGGUUAUUUGGGCCAAGUUUGAAGAUUGCAACCCGGGAGCAUAGCUUCAAGUUGCCCUGAACAUAGGAUUUGCAACAGUGACAAAGGUGAGGCCAGAGAAGUGACAAGACAGAUGCCAGUCCAGCAGGUGGGCAUGUCCAGAAAGUGCAGCCUCAGGACACGGUCUGGGAACAAAGACUGCUGGAGAGUUGGAAGCUGGCAAGAGGCUCUCAGCUGUGAAGUACCUGGGGUGGGGGAGAAGUGGUCGGAGAAAGCAGAGGUAAGGUCUGUGCGUGGGAACUGAACUGAAAUCCACAGCUCUAUUACAAGGAAUUAAUCUGGUUACUAGAACCAGGGUAGAUGAUCAGACCAGGCAGGGCCACCAGUACCAUCCACCCAUUUUUCCUGAGAAAAGAAAAAUAGGGUAGUCUGAGCUCUGUGAGGUGUGCAGAAUGAUCAGGCCCAGAGAGGCAGGAGUGUGGGACUUCAUUCAGCGCCUCUUCCACCAUAGAAGCAACUGUCCAGGGCAAUUGUUUGAUGGAAUUUUUGCUCCUGACAGGCUGCCUCACCCAUUAUCUUCUUGUUCACAUGGAAUUAGUGAUGCUAAGAACGAUGCAUAGCCAAUCAGCACCUUCUGUUAUUUUAAUGCAAAUUCUUGCUAACAACUUAG
rnacentral:lncRNA from 1 species